GUAAAAGUCGUAACAAGGUUUCCGUAGGUGAACCUGCGGAGGNCAUUAUUGAAUAAACUUGGUUGGGUUGCUGCUGGCUCUUAGGAGCAUGUGCACGCCUAGCGCCAUUUUUACCACCUGUGCACCCUUGUAGACCUGGAUACCUCUCGGGCCAUCUUUUUUCAAAGUUGGCACGGUUUGAGGACUGCCUCCUGGCUGUCCUUACAUUUCCGGUCUAUGUCUUUUAUACACUCUACAAGUAUGUCAUAGAAUGUCUUAUUUACUGGCCGUUGUGCCUUUAAAAUCAAAUACAACUUUCAACAACGGAUCUCUUGGCUCUCGCAUCGAUGAAGAACGCAGCGAAAUGCGUUAAGUAAUGUGAAUUGCAGAAUUCAGUGAAUCAUCGAAUCUUUGAACGCACCUUGCGCUCCUUGGUAUUCCGAGGAGCAUGCCUGUUUGAGUGUCAUUAAAUUAUCAACCUUUCUGGCUAUGUCAUGUAGCUGGUCAGGCUUGGAUGUGGGGGUUGCGGGCUUCUCAGAAGUCGGCUCUCCUUAAAUGUAUUAGUGGAGCCUUUGUUGAUUCUCGCUCUGGUGUGAUAGUUUAUCUACGCCAAAUGCAAAGUCGACGCUUUUUUAAAAAGGGGUUUUGCUAUCUAACCGUCCCUUUUAUGUGGACAACUUCUUGACAUUUGACCUCAAAUCAGGUAGGACUACCCGCUGAACUUAAGCAUAUCAAUAAGCGGAGGAAAAGAAACUAACAAGGAUUCCCCUAGUAACUGCGAGUGAAGCGGGAAAAGCUCAAAUUUAAAAUCUGGUAGUCUUUGGCUGCCCGAGUUGUAAUCUAGAGAAGUGCUAUCCGCGCUGGA
rnacentral:rRNA from 1 species